CCCGGGCCUUGUACACACCGCCCGUCACACCAUGGGAGUUGGCUUUACCCGAAGGUGGUGCGCUAACCCGCAAGGGAGGGAGCCGUCGAAGGUAGGGUCGAUGAUUGGGGUG
rnacentral:rRNA from 1 species